rnacentral:rRNA from 1 species
AGCAGCCGCGGUAAUUCCAGCUCCAAUAGCGUAUAUUAAAGUUGUUGCAGUUAAAAAGCUCGUAGUUGAAUUUCGGGAUCAGUACGCUGGUCAUGCCUUUGGUAUGCACUGGUGUCACUGGUUUCUCCCUUCUGAAGAACCGUGAUGUCAUUAAUUUGGUGUCGCGGGGAAUCAGGACUGUUACUUUGAAAAAUUAGAGUGUUUAAAGCAGGCUCACGCUUGAAUACAUUAGCAUGGAAUAAUGAAAUAGGACGUUUGACCCUAUUUGUUGGUUUCUAGGAUCGACGUAAUGAUUAAUAGGGAUAGUUGGGGGCAUUAGUAUUCAAUUGUCAGAGGUGAAAUUCUUGGAUUUAUUGAAGACUAACUACUGCGAAAGCAUUUGCCAAGGAUAGUUUUCAUUAAUCAAGAACGAAGUUAGGGGAUCGAAGACGAUCAGAUACCGUCGUAGUCUUAACCAUAAACUAUGCCGACGUAGGAUCGGAUGAUGUUAAUUUAUAAUGACUCAUUC